CACCGCGGUUACACGAGGGGCUCAAGUUGAUACCUCCGGCACAAAGCGUGAUUAAAAUACUAACUAUUAUAUACUAUAGAAGCCCCCAAUGCCUGCUAGUUGAAUAGGUAUGCACAAAUAUUUCAACAUCGAAAGAAUCUAUACUAAACAGACUUUAUUUGACAUCACGAAAGCAAAGCUA
rnacentral:rRNA from 1 species